UACGUAGGGUGCGAGCGUUGUCCGGAAUUAUUGGGCGUAAAGGGCUCGUAGGCGGUCUGUUGCGUCGGGAGUGAAAACUCAGGGCUUAACCCUGAGCCUGCUUCCGAUACGGGCAGACUAGAGGUAUGCAGGGGGGAACGGAAUUCCUGGUGUAGCGGUGAAAUGCGCAGAUAUCAGGAGGAACACCGGUGGCGAAGGCGGUUCUCUGGGCAUUACCUGACGCUGAGGAGCGAAAGCGUGGGGAGCGAACAGG
rnacentral:rRNA from 1 species